GGGAUUGCUCGGGGGACGGUGGGGGCUGGAGGUUCCUGUGGGUCAGCUACCGGGGGGGAGAGGAGCCUCCGCGGGGGCGGCGGCGGCGGCUUUUGGGGGCUGCCCGGUAACGGGAAUGCCGCAGAACGGCCGUUGAGAAUUUGUGUCUGUGCGCAUGCGCGGGGUGGAGCGUAGGCUCUUGGAGGCAGGCGGAGGGUCGGUGUUCCGGGACCUCGUGGCGCAACGGUAGCGCGUCUGACUCCAGAUCAGAAGGCUGCGUGUUCGAAUCACGUCGGGGUCACGGUGUUCCCCCGCGGGGGGUUCAUUUUUUUUUUUUUUCCCCACUUCUGAGGAGUGUUGCUUUGUUCGGGGGUUACAUACGGAAGGAAAGAAGGAAACAAAGCCUGAGCUGGGGCACGGAUAAAGCUGCAAAGUGGUCCGUUUCCCCUUCGCUGUUGUGAUUUUAAUUAAGACAAAGAGGCGAGGUGGGGAAAUAAUUGUUUUUGGAAGCGUUAUCCACAGCAACGUGCUCCAUGGAACUCGUGUGCGAGGCACCCCUGGGGUGGCUGCAGGAUGGAUCCUGCUUCAGGGUUAGAAUGAGUGUGGGAUGUGCCUGCUCAGUAGUUAAAAAAGAAAGUGUGACCAAAAGGCUUUUCUUUGCAAGUAUUGUAAUGCAUGGUCAAUGUGGUGGUUUGGUUUUGGGGUUUUAUUUUUUUUUUUGCUCUGCUGUAGGGUUGAAGGGCUGCUAAUGAAUUCUGCAGAAUGCACUGCUUCCCUCGCCCUGCCCUGCUGUGAGCAGAGGGAACAUCUGCACUUCAGGGUGACUUUAUACCCUCCCUUUCCUGCCUGUCCAUGCAUUAAAGUGAGCAAGUAUCCAGCACUGCCCCUGCUUCCAUCUGAAACCUUCAGCCCAGGGGUCACAAUGCCAGCACCCCCUCUGCAUGAGCUCCCCCCGUGCGUUCACUCGUGCCAUUCCUACAGUGCAGCCUCUCUCCGUGACCUCCUGCGAUGCUUCGGAUGGUUUCGACUUCUGUUGGAACGUUUCCCCUUGGGAAGCUUUCUUUCCCCUUUGACUUCUGCAGCAGUUGCCGUGGGGAGCGACGAUGUCACAGUGGGGAGGGCUGUGGGGAAGGGUGGGCUCCAUGGACAGCACCCAGCGAGCAGGCUUCUACCUGGCCAUGUGAGCAGCCCUGCAGAUGGGAGAGAUGUCCGAGCCCACAUCCAACGUGCUGAUACGACGACUGAAGGAUGCUGA
rnacentral:tRNA from 1 species